rnacentral:lncRNA from 1 species
UUCUUUGAUGGGAAAAUCUUCUUGAGGAGGCAAACAACGGGGCAAGAAAGGGGAAUGUUGUUGCUGUUGCUCAUUUCCAUCCAGAAAAGUAGCACCAUUUUGCUGAUGAUUCAAAGGUAAAGCAGCCUCUUUUUUCCCACUGUUUUCGUUAAGACCCAACUUGAAAUUAACAGCCAAAAAGGGUUGUUGUUGUUGUUGACUAUGAUGAUGAACAGGUUCUGGGUGUUGAAAUGGUUGAAACUGAUGGUGGAAAAGCUGAUGGGUAACUGGAUUUUCAUGUUGUUUAUUAUGUUGUUGAGAAGGGUAAGGGAAAACAGGUUGUUGUUGGUGAUUAUGAGGAUUGGAAAUGAAGAAAAUUGAAGCGGAUGAAGAAGCAUCAUCAUCCUCCAUGAAUUGCUGUUGUUGUAGAUGAUGAUGAUGAUGGUGGUGAUGAUGGGCACCAUAUUUGAUGGGAUGCAUUUCUUUUGAAGGUUUUUUUUCUACUUUUUUUUUAAUGUUUAUUGAACAACAUUAAUCCAAGAAGGAACCAAACGAGGGUCUUUCUUCAUAGAAAUGUUGAAUUAAACACUGAUUUUUUUUUAAAGGAAAAAAAGAGCAGCUGUUUUAUGGGAAUGGGAUUAUAAAUUGUAACAUUAGAUAUUUCUAGAAGUGGUAUAGGGUUUCGGUUUAUACAAAAAUAAAUAAAUAAGUAAUUUUUAAUAUUUAAAAAUAAAAUUUAAUAUUUGAAGACAUAGUUUUGGGUCCAUUGAAAUUUUUUAUCCAUAAAAUAGAGAUUCUGUAAUAAAUAAUUUUAGAUAUUAUGUUAAAAAGAAUAAAUAUAAUCAAAAUUUAUAAUAAAAUUAUUCAAAAAAAAAAACAUGAGUUAAUAUAUAUAAUUUCUCUUUCAAGUGAUGCAGGGCGGUUCAGCUCCAGCAAUAGGUGGUGGAUCCGAUUAAUAAUAAUAGGGAAGAAAGAACAAGGUUUAUACCCUAUGAAAACCGUCAAGUACUAUUCAAUUAAUGCAUUUGGAAAAUAAUUACUAUUUAGUGGAUGGUUAUGCAAAGUCUUAGUUUUGGUCACUACUUCAUAGUCCUACCUUAGUCAUCUUUCUCUACGAGUUACAUUACAGGAAAUCAAUGAUAUAGCGGGGUCUUUUUCACCUUUAGCGGCAUUUAUAAAAGCCGCAAAAAAACUUAGCGAC